CAGCAGCCGCGGUAAUACGUAGGGUGCGAGCGUUAAUCGGAAUUACUGGGCGUAAAGCGUGCGCAGGCGGUUGUGUAAGACAGGUGUGAAAUCCCCGGGCUUAACCUGGGAACUGCGCUUGUGACUGCACAGCUAGAGUAUGGCAGAGGGGGGUGGAAUUCCACGUGUAGCAGUGAAAUGCGUAGAGAUGUGGAGGAACACCGAUGGUGAAGGCAGCCCCCUGGGCCAAUACUGACGCUCAUGCACGAAAGCGUGGGGAGCAAACAGGAUUAGAUACCCCUGUAGUCCCUGUCUCUUAUAC
rnacentral:rRNA from 1 species